GACUUCUCUGGUUAAAUCUUCCUCUUUAGAAAGUUCAUGUAUCUUACUUGCUGGAUUCUAGUCUUGUGUUUCCUCUCUUUGCUGUUGAUAUGUACUAGAAGCAUUGUAAAAUAUUGGGGCAUUUCCCUGGACCAUGCAGAAAACUUAUGUUUGUAAUCUUGAAAAUCUUAGGAAAUUUCUCUACUGAAAAGAUAUCCAAGUAAGAAAGCAUCCGAACAAUUUUUACAUACUUUGGGGGAAAAAGUCGAUCUUUACCAAAUAUAUGAAUGUUCUUCUUUAAAAAAAAAUAAUUCUUCUUCAAAACAUUUGAAUGUUAGAGGUUGAAAUGAACAAGGAAAGAUAGUAAGUUUUACACUAUUCAUUGUGUUCCUUGGCCAAUGUUGAAGCAUUGGUUGUCGAGCAACCAAUUCACUUGCCAUUUGUCAAAAUUACUAUUUAGUAUCUACAUGGCAUGAAUUUGGAAUUCCUUCUAAAGAAUGAAAGUCUUCUGGCUCUACUGGAUUUUAUUUUACAGGAACCUUCAAGAAUUUUUUGCUCUCAACCCUGUAAAAGCUGUUUGUUCUUGUUUGGAUAUGUUUCUAAUCUUAGGAAAUUUCUCUACUGAAAAGAUAUCCAAGUAAGAAAGCAUCCGAACAAUUUUUACAUACUUUGGAGGAAAAAGUCAAUCUUUACCAAAUAUAUGAAUGUUCUUCUUUAAAAAAAAAAUAAUUCU